rnacentral:rRNA from 1 species
UUCCAGACUCCUACGGGAGGCAGCAGUGGGGAAUAUUGCACAAUGGGGGAAACCCUGAUGCAGCGACGCCGCGUGAGUGAAGAAGUAUUUCGGUAUGUAAAGCUCUAUCAGCAGGGAAGAAAUAGCGACCUUUGGGUCGCCAGACGGUACCUGAUUAAGAGGCCCCGGCUAACUACGUGCCAGCAGCCGCGGUAAUACGUAGGGGGCAAGCGUUAUCCGGAUUUACUGGGUGUAAAGGGAGCGUAGACGGCAGCGCAAGUCUGAAGUGAAAGCCCGUGGCUCAACCGCGGAACCGCUUUGGAAACUGCGAGGCUGGAGUGCUGGAGAAGUAAGCGGAAUUCCUGGUGUAGCGGUGAAAUGCGUAGAUAUCAGGAGGAACACCGGUGGCGAAGGCGGCUUACUGGACAGUGACUGACGUUGAGGCUCGAAAGCGUGGGGAGCAAACAGGAUUAGAUACCCCGGUAG